GACGAACGCUGGCGGCGUGCUUAACACAUGCAAGUCGAACGGAAAGGCCCUGCUUUUGUGGGGUGCUCGAGUGGCGAACGGGUGAGUAACACGUGAGUAACCUGCCCUUGACUUUGGGAUAACUUCAGGAAACUGGGGCUAAUACCGGAUAGGAGCUCCUGCUGCAUGGUGGGGGUUGGAAAGUUUCGGCGGUUGGGGACGGACUCGCGGCUUAUCAGCUUGUUGGUGGGGUAGUGGCUUACCAAGGCUUUGACGGGUAGCCGGCCUGUGAGGGUGACCGGCCACAUUGGGACUGAGAUACGGCCCAGACUCCUACGGGCGGCAGCAGUGGGGAAUAUUGCACGAUGGGCGGAAGCCUGAUGCAGCAACGCCGCGUGCGGGAUGACGGCCUUCGGGUUGUAAACCGCUUUCGCCUGUGACGGAGCGUGAGUGACGGUAAUGGGUAAAGAAGCACCGGCUAACUACGUG
rnacentral:rRNA from 1 species